CACUGAUGAAAUAUAAAAGCAUUAUGCGGUUAGGGAACAGAAGGAGAUUAGCAAAAAUGAGCCACUGAGAUUAGCCCUGACUUUCUUUAAAAAAGAUUAAAAAAAUACUGCAAUUCUUUCACAAAAAAAAAAACACUUUCCUUUACAACAAUGAACAGAACCCCCGCCCCCCAAAAAAAGGAAAAGGAAACACCUCCGCAUGACAAGAAAUAUUUAAUUUUUAUUGACACCCCACAAUAUAACGUGCUGCAUUUUUAUGCAUUUUUAUUUAGAACACACUUAGGUACAGUGUGCUGCCUCUUGAAUAUAAACUCCAUGAAUCCGCAGGUUGACAGCUGGCGGUUGCUACCUGUUUAUGCCCCUCGAGCCAAACUGUUGAAUAUACAUUCAGUGCUACAGUAUGCACAGUAUGCACGGGGUGAUCUGCCGUCUGUUUAACGCCUCUUUCUCUGCACGUGUCUGGUCGUAAUGUGAGAGACUGUACAUCGACUUUAUGUUUUCCAUACCAAUGUCACCACCACAAGCUGUAGCACUUUUUUUUUUUUUUUUUUUUUGCUCUUGGCAGAGGAAGUGAGUGCAUUUUGAAAGCGUUCCAGCUCAGCCCUCGUCUCUCUGAUUAUGUGGAAUAUUCUGCGGGAAAAGGUUUUAAUUCUGAACGCAGCACAACGAGAGCGCAGCCUGGAACACAUCAGGCGGCCGACGGCAGCAACACAGACCAUCGAUUCCUCCAACACACCUACGUUUGUGAAAAACGACCGCACGGUUCCUAUGACAGCGAAAUAGGGGAGUAAAGGGUCUAAAACCGGCUGUGGUCCUCGCCGACGCUUGACAGUAUUGAGAGACUAGGCAACAGGGAGCGAGCGCUCAGCGCGGGGACCGGCAGCUCCAGGUCGGGCCAAUGUGAGAAGACUGAAUGAGGGACCGUGUCUAAAUGCAAACUCUCGUGACGCGAGACGACACGAAGCAGGUGCAUGUUUUCGCUGGUUUCACGCAGCAACUACGCCGCCGGCGGCGCCGUGACGUGAGGCCGAUGCAGAUGUGGUACCGGGUUCAGCUCCUCACGCAGCCUGCCGUGGACUGAUUCCACCUCUGUGUCUGAUGUCUGCCUGCGCGUCAAAAGCAGCGUCACGUGUUCCCGUCUGCACGUCGAAAUAUCUGAUAACAAGAGAGAGAAAUGGGAACAGCAACGUCUCCGAGCGGCGGAUUCUGAACCUGCUUACUAUUCCGGCAAUUUAUCAAAUAAUCAUUCCGGGAUAUUAAAUAUUUCAAAUCGA